AGUGAACGCUGGCGGUAGGCCUAACACAUGCAAGUCGAACGGCAGCACAGUAAGGGCUUGCUCUUACGGGUGGCGAGUGGCGGACGGGUGAGGAAUACAUCGGAAUCUACUUUUUCGUGGGGGAUAACGUAGGGAAACUUACGCUAAUACCGCAUACGACCUACGGGUGAAAGCAGGGGAUCUUCGGACCUUGCGCGAUUGAAUGAGCCGAUGUCGGAUUAGCUAGUUGGCGGGGUAAAGGCCCACCAAGGCGACGAUCCGUAGCUGGUCUGAGAGGAUGAUCAGCGACACUGGAACUGAGACACGGUCCAGACUCCUACGGGAGGCAGCAGUGGGGAAUAUUGGACAAUGGGCGCAAGCCUGAUCCAGCCAUACCGCGUGGGUGAAGAAGGCCUUCGGGUUGUAAAGCCCUUUUGUUGGGAAAGAAAAGCAGCAGGUUAAUACCCAGCUGUUCUGACGGUACCCAAAGAAUAAGCACCGGCUAACUUCGUG
rnacentral:rRNA from 1 species